rnacentral:rRNA from 1 species
CCUACGGGAGGCAGCAGUGGGGAAUAUUGGACAAUGGGGGCAACCCUGAUCCAGCCAUGCCGCGUGUGUGAAGAAGGCCUUCGGGUUGUAAAGCACUUUUGUUGGGGAAGAAACCGGCCGGGUUAAUACCCUGGUUGAAUGACGGUACCCAAAGAAUAAGCACCGGCUAACUUCGUGCCAGCAGCCGCGGUAAUACGAAGGGUGCAAGCGUUACUCGGAAUUACUGGGCGUAAAGCGUGCGUAGGCGGUUUGUUAAGUCUGCUGUGAAAGCCCUGGGCUCAACCUGGGAACUGCAGUGGAUACUGGCGAGCUAGAGUGUGUCAGAGGAUGGUGGAAUUCCCGGUGUAGCGGUGAAAUGCGUAGAGAUCGGGAGGAACACCAGUGGCGAAGGCGGCCAUCUGGGACAACACUGACGCUGAGGCACGAAAGCGUGGGGAGCAAACAGGAUUAGAUACCCUGGUAGUCCACGCCCUAAACGAUGCGAACUGGACGUUGGGCACACUUAGGUGCUCAGUGUCGAAGCUAACGCGUUAAGUUCGCCGCCUGGGGAGUACGGUCGCAAGACUGAAACU